rnacentral:rRNA from 1 species
GAUGAACGCUGGCGGCGUGCCUAAUACAUGCAAGUCGAGCGAACAGACGAGGAGCUUGCUCCUCUGACGUUAGCGGCGGACGGGUGAGUAACACGUGGAUAACCUACCUAUAAGACUGGGAUAACUUCGGGAAAACGGAGCUAAUACCGGAUAAUAUAUUGAACCGCAUGGUUCAAUAGUGAAAGACGGUUUUGCUGUCACUUAUAGAUGGAUCCGCGCCGCAUUAGCUAGUUGGUAAGGUAACGGCUUACCAAGGCAACGAUGCGUAGCCGACCUGAGGGGGUGAUCGGCCACACUGGAACUGAGACACGGUCCAGACUCCUACGGGAGGCAGCAGUAGGGAAUCUUCCGCAAUGGGCGAAAGCUUGACGGAGCAACGCCGCGUGAGUGAUGAAGGUCUUCGGAUCGUAAAACUCUGUUAUUAGGGAAGAACAAAUGUGUAAGUAACUAUGCACGUCUUGACGGUACCUAAUCAGAAAGCCACGGCUAACUACGUG